GGCCGCCUGGCGAAAUGGCAUCGCGUCUGACUACGAUCAUGAUGGAAGUAAUCAGGAGAUUGCAGGUUCGACCCCUGCGGUGGUCA